CCUAUCAGCUACUCUCCAGACAAGACUGCCUGCCCCAUCUGAUCUUGGAAGCUAAGCAGGGUCGGGCCUGGUUAGUACUUGGAUGGCAGACAAGACUGCCUGUAACUCAGCAUGCUGGUGGAA
rnacentral:rRNA from 1 species